AUUGGAGACUUGAGCCAGCCAUCAUAACCACAAGACAUUCAAGUUUUGCUCGUGCUGCCAUCAGUAACAAUCUCAACAUCAGCACUUGGAUAAACAGCAUCCCGUUUGAUCGGUGACAUUCUGCCCUCGUAUUGUACACCCAUGUGAAUUUAGGCGUAUUCACAAGGACACCCUUUUCCCUAAAUCCCGGCUGGUGUCUUCAACCUUUCAGCGGAUGGAUGGAACGAACUUGCAUAUGGAUGCCUGGCGUUAUUUCCCAAGCUCCAAGAUAAACAGCAUCCCAUCUAAUUGGUGAUAUUCCCCUUUCCUGCCCUCGUGUACACCAUGUGAAUGUGGAUGUAUUCACGAGUCUGAGGCCCUUUUUCCUAUGUCACCUGGUGGAUUCAACAUUUCAGCGGAUGGAUGGACCAACUGUGGAUGCCUGGCCGUAUUUCCCAG